GACGAACGCUGGCGGCGUGCUUAACACAUGCAAGUCGAACGGAAAGGCCCUGCUUUUGUGGGGUGCUCGAGUGGCGAACGGGUGAGUAACACGUGAGUAACCUGCCCUUGACUUUGGGAUAACUUCAGGAAACUGGGGCUAAUACCGGAUAGGAGCUCCUGCUGCAUGGUGGGGGUUGGAAAGUUUCGGCGGUUGGGGAUGGACUCGCGGCUUAUCAGCUUGUUGGUGGGGUAGUGGCGUACCAAGGCUUUGACGGGUAGGCGGCCUGAGAGGGUGACCGGGGACCAUAGUCCUGCGGGAGGGCCCAGUCGGGAACGGUGGACAAUGGGGGAGAGUCUGACACAGCGGGGGCGAGCCUGAGACGAAAGCGUCCGGUGUGGAAAGCCCGCCUUCUGGGGAGGAAGCGCUGUAAGCUGAGACCUAGCUUUAUUGACGUUACUGACAGAAUAAGCACCGGCUAACUUCGUG
rnacentral:rRNA from 1 species